UACAGAGGGGGCAAGCGUUGUUCGGAAUUACUGGGCGUAAAGGGCGCGUAGGCGGCCAACUAAGUCAGACGUGAAAGCCCCCGGCUCAACCGGGGAAGGUGACUGCAAACUGGGUUUCUUGAGGGCGAUAGGGGAGAGCGGAAUUCCUGGUGUAGCGGUGAAAUGCGUAGAGAUCAGGAGGAACACCGAUGGCGAAGGCAGCCAUCUGGACCGACACUGACGCUGAGGCGCGAAAGCGUGGGGAGCAAACAGG
rnacentral:rRNA from 1 species